GUGUAGCUUAAUCAAAGCAUUUCGCUUACACCGAGAAUAUGUUUAAUAAUAUCAGAUCACCUUGAA
rnacentral:tRNA from 1 species